rnacentral:rRNA from 1 species
GACGAACGCUGGCGGCGUGCUUAACACAUGCAAGUCGAGCGGUAAGGCUCCUUCGGGAGUACACGAGCGGCGAACGGGUGAGUAACACGUGAGUAACCUGCCCCAUUCAUCGGAAUAACCAGUGGAAACGCUGGCUAAUGCCGAAUACGACCACCGAAGGCAUCUUCUGGUGGUGGAAAGCUCCGGCGGAGUGGGAUGGACUCGCGGCCUAUCAGCUUGUUGGUGAGGUAAUGGCUCACCAAGGCGACGACGGGUAGCCGGCCUGAGAGGGUGACCGGCCACACUGGGACUGAGACACGGCCCAGACUCCUACGGGAGGCAGCAGUGGGGAAUAUUGGACAAUGGGCGAAAGCCUGAUCCAGCAACGCCGCGUGAGGGAUGACGGCCUUCGGGUUGUAAACCUCUUUCAGUAGGGACGAAGCGAAAGUGACGGUACCUACAGAAGAAGGACCGGCCAACUACGUG